rnacentral:rRNA from 1 species
GUUACACUUAUAAUGCUAUAAAAAAGGUUYGGCAAUUAAUUAAUAAAUGGAGGUUAAUAAUUUUUUAACUUUAUUGGGUGAAAUUUUUAAAGUUGAAGUAUUAUUUUUAAUUAUUAUAUGAGGUUAAUAAGUUUAGGUUAUAGACUAGGAUUAGAUACCCUAUUAUUCUAAAUUGAAUUCUGGUUGCUUGGUUAGUAGUAGUUAUGUUCUUGAAAAUUAAAGAAGUUGGCGGUAUUUUAGUCUAUUCAGAGGAACUUGUCCUAUAAUCGAUGGUCCACGAUUUUUUUUACUUAUUUUAAAUAGUUUGCAUAUCGCCGUGGGUUGAAUAUUUUUGAAAAAUUGAAAUGUUCAAUAAUUUUUAUAAAAAAAAAAUUCAGGUCAAGAUGUAGCUUAUAGAUAAGAAGAGAUGGGUUACAAUGAGUGUACUUAUACGAAUUGAUAAAUGAAAUUUUAUUAUGAAGGUGGAUUUGAUGGUAAUUUUAUUUAAAUUUAUAAAAUGAUUUAAGCUCUAAAAUAUGUACAU